rnacentral:rRNA from 1 species
CCUACGGGGCGCAGCAGUAGGGAAUCUUCCACAAUGGACGAAAGUCUGAUGGAGCAACGCCGCGUGAGUGAAGAAGGGUUUCGGCUCGUAAAGCUCUGUUGGUAGUGAAGAAAGAUAGAGGUAGUAACUGGCCUUUAUUUGACGGUAAUUACUUAGAAAGUCACGGCUAACUACGUGCCAGCAGCCGCGGUAAUACGUAGGUGGCAAGCGUUGUCCGGAUUUAUUGGGCGUAAAGCGAGUGCAGGCGGGUCAAUAAGUCGUAUGUUGAAGCCUUCGGCUACAACGG